rnacentral:piRNA from 1 species
CAUCACUUCAGUCCCCCGCCAAGCAUGGGUGU